AAAUAUAAAAUAAAGUUAUAUGUCUCAUAAUAUAAGAAUUUAUACAACAACAUAAUAGUACCAUUACUAAAUGCAUAAUAAGAUUAAAUAUUAAAAAGUUAGGCAAAUAUAAAAUAUCUUAUAUUAAUAAUGAUAUUAAUGGUAUUUUUGACAUGUGUAUUUUAAACAACAAUUUAUGGCAUUCAAGUAUAAUUUAAGGUAUGCGUAUUUUAAGGAAGAAUUUAAGGCAUGUGUAUUUUGAACAACAAUUUCAUAUUGUGACAUACACAAGGGCACAUUGAUUGAUAUUAAACCAUUUAAGCAGAAUUGAGAUAUGGUUAAACAAAAGAUGAAUGGCUGAGAUAAAUUUUUUGAUAAGGGCGUUUUAGUUGAAAAAAUGUUCUUAUGUAAGUUUUGUGAAAUUCAUUUUAAAUUUUAUCAAAUUUGAUAGGAAUUGGUUU
rnacentral:misc_RNA from 1 species